GCAGCAGAAAGCGGGUCCCAGGCGCAACCCAGGGUCUCCAGAGCCCUUUCCGGCCAAUGCCAAUGCCGACGAGGGACUGCUUCAGUUCAGGAGUUACUAGAAAGCCAGAAGCCCCAAACCCCUUCUUCUAGGAACCAACGCCCAAGGCUGGCUGCCGGGUCCCCGGCGCCCCCCACGGCCGAGCGAGCCCACCUGCGGGGGCUGCCCCUUAAGAGCCCAAGCCUCCGGGUGGUGGGGGGGGGGGCGUGCCGAGGCCCCUCCAUUCCGAGGGAAAUCAAUGCCGCGUUAAUGGCUGGCAAACUAAGAGGGAGCAACCUCCUCCAUCCGUCUCUCUCUGGACAUCCUGCCCUGCCCAGGGACUGGCAUGGGGCAAUACCCGCAGUGUCCCCCAACUCAAGGCCUCCAGGGUUCACCCCAAAGAGCCCCCUUUCCUUAGCAGGAAGGAGGUUUGGGUACAUCCAUCCUGCCUUCUGGAGAGGCAUGCCGAGGUGCCAGAGACGGGAAACUGCGGCAGAAGAGAGCCAAAGUCACAAUCCUGCCUGGGGGGAACUGGAGUCUGGGUCCAUGAUGGAAAUCUGCCCUCGAAGAACUGCCCCCAGGGAUGGAUUCCAUUGCUAUGCUCCAUGCAGCACCUUCCCUACCCUACUCCCUACUCCUCAAAUCCCUCUAGGUCCUGGUGACAUCCACUUCCUCCAGGCAGCCCUCCCAGCCUGCUGGUACUUGCUCCCUACUGUUUCCCAUAGGGUCAGGCAGUGGGAUCUGACUGCCUAGGUUCAGAUCCAGGCUUCACUUCUUUCUGCCUCUAUUUCCCCCCUGGCAGCUUGGUUAACCAUUCAGAGCCUCAGUGUCCCCAUCUGUCAAAUGAGGGUAGCUUUGAAAACCUAUGUCAUGAGACUUUUAUGAUGCUGAAAGGUCAUCCGUGCAAACUGGGUAGAAGAAUCCCUAGGCCUGUUGCUAGAGCCACACUGGCCCCUCGUGUGUGCUAAGUCGCUUCAGUGGUGUCCGAUUCUUUGUGAACCUAUGGACUGUAGCCCAACCAGGCUUCUCUGUCCGUGAGGAUUCCCCAGGCAAGAAUACAGGGGUGGGUUGCCAUGUCCUCCUCCAGGGGAUCUUCCUGACCCAGGGAUCAAACUCAAGUCUCUUACAUCUCCUGCAUUGGCAGGCAGGUCCUUUACCACUAGAGUCACUUGGGAAGCCCUUAUACUGGCCCCUCACUAAACCCCAAACACACCCAGCAUGCUCCUACCUCUAGGCUUCCCACCGGGUGUUCCUUCUAGACGUCCCCACAGCCCCCUCCUGCCUUUAUUCACAUCUGUACUAGUCUGCCACCUCCUCAGAAGGACCUUCCCAAGCCAACACCAGGUUGUUUGCCAUCAUCGUUUUAUCACCACCUGACAUUAUAUUACUUACCCAAGCUUAGGCUCUGCAACCCAAGGGCCCUGGCUUCACAGUUAUUGGCUGUGUGACCUUGGGCAUGUUACUUAACUUCUCUGAGCUUCAAUGCCCUCAUUUUUAAAAUGGAGAUAGUAAUAAAACCGGUCUCGUACAACUGUUGGGUGAAUAAGGGACUUAGCAUAUGGAAAACCUUCAGAACAGUGCGUGGCUCACAGUAGGUGGUAUUCCCAAAACUAAUUUUGUUUCUAUUAUUUUUGAGUACCCUGUCUCCUUCCCUCCCUGCCCUGCCCCCAACUAGACUGUAUGCCCUCCUGAGGAAUACUUCUUCAGGGGGCAGUCUUUGUAUUAUUCACUGCUCUAGUCUCAGUACCCAAAUGACCUGGUAUCUAAUAGAUGCUCAAUACUUGUUUGUUAAAUGAAUAAAAGAGGUUCUACUGGA